GUUCACCAUUUUGUGUGUCCAAGGACCACCUACUUUUUACAUAUGACAAGAACUACCCACCUCCACUCUUCAGGACAGAACAUGCUGGAGAAAAGAGUUACAAUGAGAAAAUAUAUGGGAACAAAAUACCUAUGCAAUGCAGAAGUCUGCAUAACUAAACCACUCAGAGGAAAAAAUGUUAACUACUCAUCUAUGUCAAAUUAAUUAUGCUCAUUGGAUUAUUUUACUUUUAUUCAAAUUUUGUUAUCUGGUACUUAUUAUAUAGAAUAUGCAAAUCGAAGUCCUGUCCUUCAGCAAUCAAUAAGAUUGCCAUUUCAGGACACCUCCUACAUCUGAAGAAAUAUGUAUUGAUCUUGAAAUAUUUUUCUCCUCCAAAUAAAAGUCAGUAUGAUAACAACUACACUAUCAGAAGUCUAAGCCAAAGGACACUUCAGUUAUCCAAUCUUGCAACAAAGUCAUUUAAGCACCUAAUAUGGGCUACUGUUGGCACUAGGGGCAUUGAGAACUUCAGAUUUGAUUAACACCCAAGAGCUGCUACCAUAAAAUAAACUAGGCAGCUACUAGGCAAUAAGAUGAGGCACAUGUGUAAAACUUCUGCUUUUAGCUUGGUGAAGAGUGGUUACACAGCCAUUAUUACAAAAAUUGCAUUUUUCCACAAAUAAAGACAUCACUUGUCUAGA
rnacentral:lncRNA from 1 species